rnacentral:rRNA from 1 species
CCUACUCAUUCCCUAGUACUGCGAGUGAAGCGGGAAAAGCUCAAAUUUAAAAUCUGGUGGUCUUUGGCCAUCCGAGUUGUAAUCUAGAGAAGUGUUAUCCGCGCUGGACCGUGUACAAGUCUCCUGGAAUGGAGCGUCAUAGAGGGUGAGAAUCCCGUCUUUGACACGGACUACCAGGGCUUUGUGAUGCACUCUCAACGAGUCGAGUUGUUUGGGAAUGCAGCUCAAAAUGGGUGGUAAAUUCCAUCUAAAGCUAAAUAUUGGCGAGAGACCGAUAGCGAACAAGUACCGUGAGGGAAAGAUGAAAAGAACUUUGGAAAGAGAGUUAAACAGUACGUGAAAUUGUUGAAAGGGAAACGCUUGAAGUCAGUCGCGUCUGUCAGAAAUCAACCUUACUUUUGUGCGGUGUAUUUUCUGAUAGAUGGGUCAGCAUCAGUUUUGGCUGCUGGAUAAAGGUUAGAGAAAUGUGGCAUCUUCGGGUGUGUUAUAGUCUCUGAUCAUAUACAGUGGCUGGGACUGAGGAACUCAGCACGCCGAAAGGCCGGAGCUUUGCUCACGUUCGUGCUUAGGAUGCUGCAAAAUGCUAAGUCCAU